GUAAUAGUUAUGUUCUUGAAACCCAAAGAAUUUGGCGGUAUUUUAGUCCUUUCAGAGGAAUCUGUCCCGUAAUCGACACCCCACGAGAUAAUUUACUUAUUUUUGUAUUCAGUUUGUAUACCUCCGUCAUAAGAAGGUCUUUUUAGAGAUUUAAUUUUCUUAAUCCAUUAAGUGGAAUAUGUCAGGUCAAGGUGCAAUUUAUAAAUAAGUGGAGAUGGAUUACAAUAAAUUUAUUUAAAUGAAUUGGAUUAUUUAAUUUUUCUAUGAAGGUGGAUUUGAUAGUAAUUUUAAUUAUUUAUUAUUUUGAUUUUGGCUCUAAAAUAUGCACACAUCGCCCG
rnacentral:rRNA from 1 species